UACGAAGGGGGCUAGCGUUGUUCGGAAUCACUGGGCGUAAAGCGCACGUAGGCGGAUGUGUCAGUCAGGGGUGAAAUCCCGGGGCUCAACCUCGGAACUGCCUCUGAUACAGCACAUCUUGAAUCCGGAAGAGGUGGGUGGAAUUCCUAGUGUAGAGGUGAAAUUCGUAGAUAUUAGGAAGAACACCGGUGGCGAAGGCGGCCCACUGGUCCGGUACUGACGCUGAGGUGCGAAAGCGUGGGGAGCAAACAGG
rnacentral:rRNA from 1 species